rnacentral:ncRNA from 2 species
GUUCGUCUUCAGGGGCAGGGUGAAAUUCCCGACCGGUGGUUAUAGUCCACGACCCAUCUCAUUGAGGUGGCUGAUUCAGUGAAAUUCUGAUACCGACAGUAAAGUCUGGAUAAAGAAGAUAGGG